CCUACGGGAGGCAGCAGUAAGGAAUAUUGGUCAAUGGACGGAAGUCUGAACCAGCCAUGCCGCGUGCAGGAUGACGGCCCUCUGGGUUGUAAACUGCUUUUAUAGGGGACGAAAAAAAGGGGAUUCUUCCUCACUUGACGGUACCCUAGGAAUAAGCACCGGCUAACUCCGUGCCAGCAGCCGCGGUAAUACGGAGGGUGCAAGCGUUAUCCGGAUUUACUGGGUUUAAAGGGUGCGUAGGUGGGUCGGUAAGUCAGCGGUGAAAUCUUCGAGCUUAACUCGGAAACUGCCAUUGAUACUAUCGAUCUUGAAUCGUCUAGAGGUAAGCGGAAUAUGUCAUGUAGCGGUGAAAUGCUUAGAUAUGACAUAGAACACCAAUUGCGAAGGCAGCUUACUAUGGAUGUAUUGACACUGAGGCACGAAAGCGUGGGGAUCAAACAGGAUUAGAUACCCUGGUAGUCCACGCCCUAAACGAUGGAUACUCGACAUUUGAGAUAUACUUUAAGUGUCUGAGCGAAAGCAUUAAGUAUCCCACCUGGAAGUACGAUCGCAGAUUGAAACUCAAAGGAAUUGACGG
rnacentral:rRNA from 1 species